UACGUAGGGUGCGAGCGUUAAUCGGAAUUACUGGGCGUAAAGCGUGCGCAGGCGGCUUUGCAAGACAGAUGUGAAAUCCCCGGGCUUAACCUGGGAACUGCAUUUGUGACUGCAUAGCUGGAGUACGGCAGAGGGGGAUGGAAUUCCGCGUGUAGCAGUGAAAUGCGUAGAUAUGCGGAGGAACACCGAUGGCGAAGGCAGUCCCCUGGGCCUGUACUGACGCUCAUGCACGAAAGCGUGGGGAGCAAACAGG
rnacentral:rRNA from 1 species